rnacentral:ncRNA from 1 species
AUCCCCGUGAGAAUGCCCUAUCGUACCCUUAUGGGAACAAGGAGCCGGUAUCAGGCACAGCCCCCGCUAGCCCACAACACCUUGCUUAGCCACACCCCCAAGGGAUUUCAGCAGUAAUAAACAUUAAGCCAUAAGUGCAAACUUGACUUAGUUAAGACCAAGAGGGCCGGUAAAACUCGUGCCAGCCACCGCGGUUAUACGAGAGGCCCAAGUUGAUAGCCAGCGGCGUAAAGAGUGGUUAAUAUGUAUAUACACAAUUACUAAAGCCGAACACCUUCAAAACUGUUAUACGUACUCGAAGGCUGGAAGUCCCCCCACGAAAGUGGCUUUAAAAUACUAUGACCCCACGAAAGCCAGGACCCAAACUGGGAUUAGAUACCCCACUAUGCCUGGCCCUAAACAUAAACAGUGCCACCACACCCACUGCUCGCCAGGGGACUACAAGCGCAAGCUUAAAACCCAAAGGACUUGGCGGUGCUUUAGUCCCACCUAGAGGAGCCUGUUCUAGAACCGAUAAUCCCCGUUCCACCUCACCCUCCCUUGCUUAUUCCGCCUAUAUACCGCCGUCGUCAGCUUACCCUGUGAAGGACCUAUCGUAAGCAAAAUUGGCACAGCCUAAAACGUCAGGUCGAGGUGUAGCGCAUGAGAGGGAAAGAAAUGGGCUACAUUCACUGAAACAGUGAACCACGGAAGAUGAACUGAAAACACAUCCAAAGGAGGAUUUAGCAGUAAGAAGGAAAUAGAGUGUCCCUCUGAAAUUGGCCCUGAAGCGCGCACACACCGCCCGUCACUCUCCCCACGCCACACAACCUUUAAUAACUAAACAAGAAGUACGGCAAAGAGGAGGCAAGUCGUAACAUGGUAAGUGUACCGGAAGGUGCACUUGGAAAAAU